rnacentral:rRNA from 1 species
UCUCUUCGGAGGCAGUGGCAGACGGGUGAGUAACGCGUGGGAACAUACCUUUCGGUACGGAACAACAGUUGGAAACGACUGCUAAUACCGUAUACGCCCUGAGGGGGAAAGAUUUAUCGCCGAGAGAUUGGCCCGCGUUGGAUUAGCUAGUUGGUGGGGUAAUGGCCUACCAAGGCGACGAUCCAUAGCUGGUCUGAGAGGAUGAUCAGCCACACUGGGGCUGAGACACGGCCCAGACUCCUACGGGAGGCAGCAGUGGGGAAUAUUGGACAAUGGGCGCAAGCCUGAUCCAGCCAUGCCGCGUGAGUGAUGAAGGCCUUAGGGUUGUAAAGCUCUUUCGCCGGUGAAGAUAAUGACGGUAACCGGUAAAGAAGCCCCGGCUAACUUCGUGCCAGCAGCCGCGGUAAUACGAAGGGGGCU